rnacentral:rRNA from 1 species
CCGCGAGGUGGAGCAAAUCCCAAAAAAUUGGUCCCAGUUCGGAUUGAAGGCUGCAAUUCGCCUUCAUGAAGUCGGAAUCGCUAGUAACCGCGCAUCAGCUACGGCGCAGUGAAUACGUUCCCGGGUCUUGUACACACCGCCCGUCAAGCCACCUGAGUCGAGUGCACCCGAAGCCGCCAUACCAACCCGCAAGGGGGGAAGGCGUCUAAGGUGUGUUCGGUAAGGAGGGCUAAGUCGUAACAAGGUAGCCGUACCGGAAGGUGCGGCUGGAUCACCUCCUUU